rnacentral:rRNA from 1 species
GACGGAGGGUGCAAGCGUUGUUCGGAUUGACUGGGCGUAAAGGGCGUGUAGGCGGUUGGUCAAGUCUGAUGUGAAAGCCCGGGGCUCAGCCCCGGAAGGGCAUCGGAAACUAGCCAGCUGGAGCGCGAUAGAGGAGGGUGGAAUUCCCGGUGUAGCAGUGAAAUGCGUAGAGAUCGGGAGGAACAUCAGUUGCGAAGGCGGCUCUCUGGACCAACACUGACGCUCAUGCACGAAAGCGUGGGGAGCAAACAGG